rnacentral:lncRNA from 1 species
UAUACAGGUCUAUGAGUUGGAGGGCAUUACAGUCAACAAAGUGAGUUCUAGGUAUGACACAGCUGGGGAAAAGUUUCAGUCUCAAUAAAAUAAAAUUAAUUUAUUCCUAGUAUCUUUUGAGUGACAUUGUUCUUGUGUUUCCAGGGCAGUCUAAAUCUAGAACAAUAUACGAGAAAGGGGUUGACCUUCCAAAUAAUCUGGUCCUUUCAAAAUCUGCCUCCAGUAUACAAGAGUUUGAAGAGCAACCUCAGCCUGGAAAUGUAGACAAGAAAGUUUCUGAUGAUUCUUACAGUCCGGACAUUUCAACAUCUCCCACAAAGAAGCAUACACUAAAAGGUCAGCCUAAGUCUGAAAACUCUGACGAAAAAGGUAUCAAACGUCCAAAUAAUCUGCACAUGUCUGCCUCUGUUGCAAGGAAGCGCCUCCUUAAAGGUAAAGAGAUAACUACGAUAUAGAUGAGAAAAAGCUCUGUUGUUGCUGUUGACUGUAUC